rnacentral:rRNA from 1 species
AUGUGGGGGUGGUUCAUUAGAAUCUUGCCUACUCGCGGGCGGGGUCCCGGGUCUCCUACUCCCCCUGUUCCGAAGAUUUGCGCGUGUCGGAUUAUUAUGGCUUUAGCAAGGGACGACGGACGAUCACGGAGGUUUUCGCCGGUGGAGGCUACCCUGAUAGGAUUACAUACAGGGGGUUGGUUGGAGUUGCCCAGGGGCAGAGGGGGAGGAUCAUCUUAUCUCCUGUCUCAAUGGGGGCCAUAA